rnacentral:lncRNA from 1 species
CGUGGACACCACACACACCAGAGUGUGGUCACCACACACACCAGACUGUGGUCACCACACACCAGACCGUGGUCACCACACACAAGACCGUGAACAUCACAUCAGAACAUCACAACAUCAGAACAUCACAACAUCAGAACAUUACAACAUCAGAACAUUACAACAUCAGAACAUUACAACAUCAGAACAUUACAACAACAGAACAUUACAACAUCAGAACAUUACAACAUCAGAACAUUACAACAUCAGAACAUGACAACAUCAGAACAUUACAACAACAGAACACUACAACAUCAGAACAUUAGAACAUUACAACAUCAGAACACUACAACAUCAGAACAUUACAACAUCAGAACAUGACAACAUCAGAACAUUACAACAACAGAACAUUACAACAUCAGAACAUUACAACAUCAGAACAUUACAACAUUACAACAACAGAACACUACAACAUCAGAACACUACAACAUUAGAACAUUACAACAUCAGAACACUACAACAUCAGAACAUUACAACAUCAGAACAUGACAACAUCAGAACAUUACAACAACAGAACACUACAACAUCAGAACAUUACAACAUCAGAACAUUACAACAUCAGAACAUUACAACAUCAGAACAUUACAACAUCAGAACAUUACAACAUUACAACAACAGAACACUACAACAUCAGAACAUUACAACAUCAGAACAUUACAACAUCAGAACAUUACAACAUCAGAACAUUACAACAUCAGAACAUGACAACAUCAGAACAUCAUAAUAUCAGAACAUUACAAGAUCAGAACAUUAUGACAUCAGAACAUUACGACAUCAGAACAUCAUUAUAUCAGAACAUUACAAAAUCAGAACAUUACGACAUCAGAACAUUACAACAUCAGAACAUUACAACAUCAGAACAUCAGAACAUGACAACAUCAGAACAUCAUUAUAUCAGAACAUUACAACAUCAGAACAUUACAACAUCAGAACAUUACAACAUCACAACAUCAGAACAUCAGAACAUUACAACAUCAGAACAUUACAACAUCACAACAUCAGAACAUCAUUAUAUCAGAACAUUACAACAUCAGAACAUUACAACAUCAGAACAUCAUAAAAUCUGAACAUUACAACAUUACAACAUUACAACAUCAGAACAUCAGAAUAUCACAACAUCCGAACAUCAUAAUAUCACAACAUCACAACAUCAGAAUAUCAGAACAUCAGAACAUCAGAAUAUCACAACAUCCGAACAUCAUAAUAUCACAACAUCAGAACAUCACAACAUCAGAACCAUCAGAAUAUCAGAACAUCACAACAUCAGAAUAUCAGAACAUCAUAAUAUCACAACAUCAGAACAUCAUAAUAUCAGAACAUUACAACAUCAGAAUAUCAGAACAUCAUAAUAUCACAACAUCAGAACAUCAUAAUAUCAGAACAUUACAACAUCAGAACAUCAAAAUAUUCUGCCAGUGCCAACUAUAUAAUAUAUAAUGAACUGGAUUGAUAGUUUUGAUAUGUCUUUAUACAUCAACAUGUAGUUUAUGUGGCCUGCUGUAAUGAACCACUCUGGAAACUGUCUCUAGGCAACGCUGGUGAUGUCAAUGCAGAUCAGACAUGUCACCAUGUUUAAAUAGUAGAUGAUUGUGUGGGUUUUGGUUGGUAAUCACCAUCUCUGUCGGUAUUGGAUACGUCUUGUUUCUGUCAACUUCAACUAACAACUUUUAAAGCCUCCAUUGAUGUACAGUACUAAUUUCCUGGAAGUUAAUUUGGUAACACCCUACAUAGCGCUCUCCUUCUGUAGUUCCCUCUGGGGCAGUUGAGAUCUUUGUCUCUGAUUGCAUUCCAAAUGGGACCCUAUUCCCUACAUAUAGUGCACUACUUUAGACCAGGGCUGGCACCAUAUUCCCUACAUAUAGUGCACUACUUUAGACCAGGGCUGGCUCCCUAUUCCCUACAUAUGGUGCACUACUUUUGACAGAGCCCUAUGGGUAAUAGGGCACCAAUUUGGAACGUAGACUUGGUCUUAAUUCAUUACAUUCAGCAACAAAUUAGUUUGUCCCUCUAAUCAAGAGCAGGAAGUAGUGAUGUACUGUACUCUGGUUCCCCAGGAAUGACAUCUUUUCAUCUUUUCCAGAACUUCUCACCAUCCGUUUGUCGCCAAGAUUACUGGUGACAUUUGUUGAGCUGAGUUUCCUUCUUCCACCUCUUACUUUUCCACCGAAUUGUUGAUUCUACUCAAUUUAAAGAAUUGUGUCAGCCUUCAGCCCGCCUCACGAAUGGUCUAGGUCACAUCCAAACGGCGUCCUAUUCCCUGUGUAGUGUACUACAUUUGACGAGGACCAAUAAGAAAUAGGGUUCAUUUUGGGAUACACACCAGUCUGCUCAUAGGGCCUACGGACAUACCAGCAUAUUGGAAAAAUAUGGAUGUAAUUUUUCUGUCUCUGAAGUCCCUCUCCUUCCUCCAUCCCUCCUACUCCUCUAUGUGCUCAGUUUAGAAGGCAUUAGCUCACUAACCAGGCAUUUCAGUAGAAGCACAUUUGAACAAACAAACGGCAUGUCAAAUGGCAUGAGGUAACAAGCUCCGUUCUGGUUCUGCUGUGUUUAUUUAACCAGUCUGUUUGGUAUAGGAGUGGAGCGCUAGGCUAGCUAUACGGCUAGCUACACUGUACUGAGAGAGGAGGGUUAGGUCAUUGAUUAUUUAACCAGUCUGUUUGGUAUAGGAGCAGAGCACUAGGCUAGCUAUAUGGCUAGCUAUACUGUACUGACAGAGAGAAGGGUUAAGUAAUAUAUUAUUUAACCAGUCUGUUUUGUAUAGGAGCAGAGCGCUAGGCUAUCACAGCACAGAAUCGUUUCACUCAAAUUGAGUUUCUGUAUUGAAAAAAAUGUAUAACUACCUUAGACAAACAUCAACAAAUGUGGGAGCCUGUUGACCUGGCUGAAAAAUAAAUAGUUGUUUUGGACAGUGUACUUAGGGGUCCUCAAGAGGGUCAGCAGGAAAUGUGCUUUUACAGCUUGAUUUCUGCUAAUGCUGUUCUAGCAAGGCUGCUACUUCACAACCAGUCAGACCAAAGCUGCUACUUCACAAUCAGUCAGACCAAAGCUGCUACUUCACAAUCAGUCAGACCAAGGCUGUUACUUCACAAUCAGUCAGACCAAGGCUGCUACUUCACAAUCAGUCAGACCAAGUCUGCUACUUCACAAUCAGUCAGACCAAGGCUGUUACUUCACAAUCAGUCAGACCAAGGCUGCUACUUCACAAUCAGUCAGACCAAGGCUGCUACUUCACAAUCAGUCAGACCAAGGCUGCUACUUCACAAUCAGCCAGACCAAGGCUGCUACUUCACAAUCAGUCAGACCAAGUCUGUUACUUCACAAUCAGUCAGACCAAGUCUGCUACUUCACAAUCAGUCAGACCAAGGCUGCUACUUCACAAUCAGUCAGACCAAGGCUGUUACUUCACAAUCAGUCAGACCAAGGCUGUUACUUCACAAUCAGUCAGACCAAGGCUGCUACUUCACAAUCAGUCAGACCAAGGCUGCUACUUCACAAUCAGUCAGACCAAGUCUGCUACUUCACAAUCAGCCAGACCAAGGCUGCUACUUCACAAUCAGUCAGACCAAGGCUGCUACUUCACAAUCAGUCAGACCAAGGCUGCUACUUCACAAUCAGUCAGACCAAGGCUGCUACUUCACAAUCAGUCAGACCAAGGCUGCUACUUCACAAUCAGUCAGACCAAGGCUGUUACUGCACAAUCAGUCAGACCAAGGCUGCUACUUCACAAUCAGUCAGACCAAGUCUGCUACUUCACAAUCAGUCAGACCAAGGCUACUACUUCACAAUUGAAAUGUACUCCUCACUUAAUCCAAAUAACUUAGACUUAACGUUUGUUAUGAUAUCGAGUUUAACGUUACUAUUGUGCAGGAUGCGAACAGGUGACUACAAUGGAUUAAAGUGAGCAAAAAAUAAAUCAUUCUCAGAUUUUUUUGUUGUUGAGUGCUCCAAUUAGUUUUUACCUCAAAUUAGUUAUUUUUAACUUUUUUCUUGGUAAGCCAUUUUCAUGAUUUUUGUCAUUGUUGUUGAGCACCCCACCUUUCCUUAGUUUGCUGAAGCGUGAAGGACCACCUGAACUCUAAUAUCACUACUUAACACUGAUAUAUGUGACCACAUUGCUGGUGGAUCUAAUGGGUGUCCACAAGAUCACAGUUGCAAUGACUGAUGGAAGGAGAGAGAGAGUGAGAUGGAGAAAGAAAGAAGGAGAGAGACAUACAGAGGAGAGACACACACAGAGAAAGACACAUAGAGAGAGAGUGAGAGAGAGCGAGAGGGAGUGAAAGAGAGAGAGGGUGAGUGAAAUAGAGAGAGUGAGUGAAAUAGAGAGAGAGAGUGAAUGUGUGAGAGAGAGAGCAAGUGAAAGAGAGUGAGAGAGAGUCAGAGAGUGAGUGAAAAAGAGAGUAAAAGAUAGAGAGAGAGCAAGUGAAAGAGACAGUAAAAGAGAGAGACUCCGAGAGAGUGAGUGAAAGAGAGAGUAAAAGAGAGAGAGAGAGUGAAAGAGAGAGAGAGAGUGAAAGAGAGAGAGUAAAAGAGAAACAGAGCAGAGUCCCUGGGAGGUUUACACUUGCACACCAAACAUUCCACACAUUCAUUUUGUGCCACCUUCUACUCACCUUGCCCUGUGAGGAUGCCCAGAUUAAUCAUGUUAAGAGUUAGACUUCGCCUUCCCUCAUCGAGCUGCAACAGAUAAAUUACAGGCUGGCUUCAGACCCUGACUGACUGACAGGCCUAGACCAGAGGAGUCCUUCCAUUCUUUAUUUUAUUUUUCCUUUAUUCUUCCUGUGUUUCUGUCUCAUCCUCUCCCCUUUCUUUACAG